rnacentral:rRNA from 1 species
CCCUUAGAUGUCCUGGGCCGCACGCGCGUUACACUGAUGCAUUCAACGAGCUUAUAACCUUGGCCGAGAGGCCUGGGCAAUCUUGUUAACGUGCAUCGUGAUAGGGAUAGAUUAUUGAAAUUAUUAAUCUUGAACGAGGAAUUCCUAGUAAACGCAGAUCAUCAAUCUGCAUUGAUUACGUCCCUGCCCUUUGUACACACCGCCCGUCGCACCUACCGAUUGGAUGGUCCGGUGAAAUCUUCGGAUUGAGACUUUGAUUUCUUCACGGAAAACGCUGUUUUAAAAAGUUGAUUAAACCUUACCAUUUAGAGGAAGGUGAAGUCGUAACA